GGCUCAAGUUCGGGAGGCGUUACCUGCGGAGGGUUUGAGGCAGGUCCAGGAGCGAGCCCACGGUCCGCCGACGCGGGACCAGGGGCGGGCCCCAGGAUCCGGAGCUUCGGGCGGGGCCGAGUCCGGGUUUGGGGCCCGGAAGGCGGGGCCAGUUAGGGCGAGGGUCCCUGGGAUCGUCAGGUCAGGCCUUGGGCUAACGUAGGCACUCUCGCAGUUCCUCCGCCUUCAGGAAAGUCUUUUUAGCAGGGGCCUUACGGGUUCGCGCUUUGGUCCUGGAGGCCUUAUCCUAGCCUCCUCUCCAUCAGCGCCACCAGUCUGGGGCCCGAAAGGAGGGAGCUUUCCCUCUGUCCCCCAGCCUUUGGACUGUCACCAAACAAGCCAUUCGUUCACCAAAUACUUAUUAAGCGCCUACCAUGUGCCUGACAAGGGAGAUGUAACGCUGUUGUUCCCCACCAGAACCAAAUGAGCGCAAGAUCUGACAAAGAAAAAAAGAAGUUCAUCUUUUAUUCCCCCAAACCCUUUCAUUUAAAUCAAGAGGGUGGGAUGUGGUUAUUGCUGUGUUUUUAGGCAGAAUCAACGGUUUCUGGGUCUGAGAAGUUGCAUACACACUCUCAGUCCCUGUAUCCUGAGAUGGAGUCACCUGAGGAUCCACAGCAAGUCCUAACCAGGGAUGGGUCUGGGUGAUUAAGGAAGGUUGGCUUCAGAACUGGGCCAGAGGCACUGCUUUGCUUUUGCUGUUUUGAUCAGCUCUGUGCCUGCAUGAGACAAGGAAAAUCAAUGGGAACAGCCCAGUAAAGUCGCCAUUCCCCAUUUUACAGCUGGGGAAACUGAGUUACAGAGCUUUUCUGCACUGAGUCAUCAGGAGCAAAUGCUAGAUCAGAUAGGGUCUCUCUCUCUGCCACCCAGGCCAGAGUGCAGUUGACGCAGGGCAGGGGAGCCCCGAAGUGGAGCAUAGUGUGUCCGGAACUGGUGGGUUCUUGGUCUCACUGACUUCAAGAAAGAAGCCGCGGACCCUCGCAAGACGGGGUCUUGCUCUGUUGCUCAAGCUG